rnacentral:rRNA from 1 species
UUUAUGGAGAGUUUGAUCCUGGCUCAGGAUGAACGCUGGUGGCGUGCCUAAUACAUGCAAGUCGAGCGAACGGACGAGAAGCUUGCUUCUCUGAUGUUAGCGGCGGACGGGUGAGUAACACGUGGAUAACCUACCUAUAAGACUGGGAUAACUUCGGGAAACCGGAGCUAAUACCGGAUAAUAUUUUGAACCGCAUGGUUCAAAAGUGAAAGACGGUCUUGCUGUCACUUAUAGAUGGAUCCGCGCUGCAUUAGCUAGUUGGUAAGGUAACGGCUUACCAAGGCAACGAUGCAUAGCCGACCUGAGAGGGUGAUCGGCCACACUGGAACUGAGACACGGUCCAGACUCCUACGGGAGGCAGCAGUAGGGAAUCUUCCGCAAUGGGCGAAAGCCUGACGGAGCAACGCCGCGUGAGUGAUGAAGGUCUUCGGAUCGUAAAACUCUGUUAUUAGGGAAGAACAUAUGUGUAAGUAACUGUGCACAUCUUGACGGUACCUAAUCAGAAAGCCACGGCUAACUACGUGCCAGCAGCCGCGGUAAUACGUAGGUGGCAAGCGUUAUCCGGAAUUAUUGGGCGUAAAGCGCGCGUAGGCGGUUUUUUAAGUCUGAUGUGAAAGCCCACGGCUCAACCGUGGAGGGUCAUUGGAAACUGGAAAACUUGAGUGCAGAAGAGGAAAGUGGAAUUCCAUGUGUAGCGGUGAAAUGCACAGAGAUAUGGAGGAACACCAGUGGCGAAGGCGACUUUCUGGUCUGUAACUGACGCUGAUGUGCGAAAGCGUGGGGAUCAAACAGGAUUAGAUACCCUGGUAGUCCACGCCGUAAACGAUGAGUGCUAAGUGUUAGGGGGUUUCCGCCCCUUAGUGCUGCAGCUAACGCAUUAAGCACUCCGCCUGGGGAGUACGACCGCAAGGUUGAAACUCAAAGGAAUUGACGGGGACCCGCACAAGCGGUGGAGCAUGUGGUUUAAUUCGAAGCAACGCGAAGAACCUUACCAAAUCUUGACAUCCUUUGACAACUCUAGAGAUAGAGCCUUCCCCUUCGGGGGACAAAGUGACAGGUGGUGCAUGGUUGUCGUCAGCUCGUGUCGUGAGAUGUUGGGUUAAGUCCCGCAACGAGCGCAACCCUUAAGCUUAGUUGCCAUCAUUAAGUUGGGCACUCUAAGUUGACUGCCGGUGACAAACCGGAGGAAGGUGGGGAUGACGUCAAAUCAUCAUGCCCCUUAUGAUUUGGGCUACACACGUGCUACAAUGGACAAUACAAAGGGCAGCGAAACCGCGAGGUCAAGCAAAUCCCAUAAAGUUGUUCUCAGUUCGGAUUGUAGUCUGCAACUCGACUACAUGAAGCUGGAAUCGCUAGUAAUCGUAGAUCAGCAUGCUACGGUGAAUACGUUCCCGGGUCUUGUACACACCGCCCGUCACACCACGAGAGUUUGUAACACCCGAAGCCGGUGGAGUAACCUUUUAGGAGCUAGCCGUCGAAGGUGGGACAAAUGAUUGGGGUGAAGUCGUAACAAGGUAGCCGUAUCGGAAGGUGCGGCUGGAUCACCUCCUUUCU